GUGUCAGCAGCCGCGGUAAGACGAAGGUGGCGAGCGUUGUUCGGAAUCACUGGGCAUAAAGCGCACGUAGGCGGUGGCGUAAGUCGGGUGUGAAAUCCCUCGGCCUAACCGAGGAACUGCGCCCGAUACUGCGUUGCUUGAGGACCAAAGGGGUGCAUGGAAUUUCCGGUGGAGCGGUGAAAUGCGUUGAUAUCGGAAGGAACGUCGGCGGCGAAAGCGGUGCACUGGUUGGUCUCUGACGCUGAGGUGCGAAAGCCAGGGGAGCAAACGGGAUUAGAAACCCGCGUAGUCC
rnacentral:rRNA from 1 species